GGGCGGAGGCCGGAGGAGCCGCCGAGCGGAGACCCGGGCGCGGGAGCUGGGCCUAGGUCGGCGCCCUGGCAGCCGUGUCUGUGUUUUUGUCUCGCAGAAUUAGAGCCCAUUGGGAACGAUGCCACCACCGUCAGACAUUGUCAAAGUGGCCAUUGAGUGGCCAGGUGCUAACGCCCAGCUCCUUGAAAUCGACCAGAAACGGCCCCUGGCAUCCAUUAUCAAGGAAGUUUGUGAUGGACUCGCAGUGACAUUAAGAAUGGGACAAUCUUACAACUGGCUAUCUCCCCGUCCCGGGCUGCACGCCAGCUGAUGGAGAGGACCCAGUCAUCCAACAUGGAGACCCGGCUGGAUGCCAUGAAGGAGCUGGCCAAGCUCUCUGCCGACGUGACUUUCGCUACUGAGUUCAUCAACAUGGAUGGCAUCAUUGUGCUGACAAGGCUCGUGGAAAGUGGAACCAAGCUCUUGUCCCACUACAGUGAGAUGCUCGCAUUCACCCUGACUGCCUUCCUAGAGCUCAUGGACCAUGGCAUUGUCUCCUGGGACAUGGUUUCAAUCACCUUUAUUAAGCAGAUUGCAGGGUAUGUGAGCCAGCCCAUGGUGGACGUGUCAAUCCUUCAGAGGUCCCUGGCCAUCCUGGAGAGCAUGGUCUUGAACAGCCAGAGUCUGUACCAGAAGAUAGCUGAGGAAAUCACCGUGGGACAGCUCAUCUCACACCUCCAGGUCUCCAACCAGGAGAUUCAGACCUACGC
rnacentral:sRNA from 1 species